rnacentral:rRNA from 1 species
GGAAAGAAACCAACAGGGAUUGCCCCAGUAACGGCGAGUGAAGCGGCAGCAGCUCAAAUUUGAAAUCUGGGGUCCCCGACCUCCGAGUUGUAAUUUGGAGAGGCAUCUUCGGGGGGGAGCGCCGGCCCAUGUUCCUUGGAACAGGACGUCGCAGAGGGUGAGAAUCCCGUGCCAGGCCGGCUGCCUCCUCCCGGGUGAAGGGCCUUCGACGAGUCGAGUUGUUUGGGAAUGCAGCUCCAAGUGGGUGGUAAAUUUCAUCUAAAGCUAAAUACCGGCGGGAGACCGAUAGCGCACAAGUAGAGUGAUCGAAAGAUGAAAAGCACUUUGAAAAUAGAGUCAAAAAGUACGUGAAAUUGUUGAAAGGGAAGCGCUUGAGACCAGACUCAGGCCCUGGCAAACAUCGCGCCCCUCGGGGCCGUGCAAUUGCCCGGGCCUGGGCCAGCAUCAGUUGGCGUGGCGGGACAAAGGCGCGGGGAAUGUGGCUCCCCUCGGGGAGUGUUAUUAGGCCCGUGCUGGAUGCCGCCGACGCCGACUGAGGACCGCGCCUCGGCUAGGAUGCUGGCUUAAUGGCCUUCAGCGACCCGUCUUGAAACACGGACCAAGGAGUCUAACAUCUAUGCGAGUGUUUGGGCGCCAAACCCUUGCGCGGAAUGAAAGUGAGCGGAGGUGGGAACCCCCCUGCGGGGCGCACCAUCGACCGAUCCUGAUGUCUUCGGAUGGAUUUGAGUAGGA